rfam:Roseiflexus sp. RS-1, complete genome.
UGGCGUGCGUGACGCGCCGCGGACCCACCCCGCGCCAUCCCGAACCGGGUCGUGAAACGCGGCAGCGCCGAUGGUACUGGCGGGACGCCCGCCGGGAGAGUAGGUCCGUGCGCCGC